rnacentral:rRNA from 1 species
UACGAAGGGUGCAAGCGUUGUUCGGAAUUACUGGGCGUAAAGCGCACGUAGGCGGACAUUUAAGUCAGGGGUGAAAUCCUGGAGCUCAACUCCAGAACUGCCUUUGAUACUGAAGAUCUUGAGUUCGGGAGAGGUGAGUGGAACUGCGAGUGUAGAGGUGAAAUUCGUAGAUAUUCGCAAGAACACCAGUGGCGAAGGCGGCUCACUGGUCCGGUACUGACGCUGAGGUGCGAAAGCGUGGGGAGCAACAGG